CGGUUAUCCAUAAUUUGCGGUGAAAUUUCGAGUAUAUAGCAUUCAAAUUAUUAAUAUUAAUCUAGUUAAAUUAUUUCUAUUGAUCGAUCCAUCGUAUCUCAUUUCUUAACUUACCGCGUGGAAUGGUCAAUAGGACAAAACUAAAGCCGAUUAUUAAUUGAAUUGUCUAAGCAACGGUUAUGUAAGUUGAAUACAAAACGUCUUUACAUAUUUAAUGUCAUUCAAUUAUAUUAUUAUUAAUAGUGGCAGUCCAAGUGCCACCACGCAUAGCUAGUAUCGAGGAAAAGGUGUCAAAAGGAAAACUAUUCAUUUUAAAGCUGCUAACACAGAAAAGGCUGCUAUUAAAAUUUAGUUGUCCGAACUAGAGGUCCGAACAAACGUGUUGAAGUGAUUCUGGCAGAUGGAUCUAUUUCACAAUCGCAUGGAGUAGGCGAUGGCUUUGUAAAAUGUGUAAGUAAAGAUGGGAAAGCCCUGGAUGUGAAGCUAAGUGAUGUGCUAUAUGUUCCGGCCUUAGACAGUGGCCUGAUAUCAGUUCGUAAGCUGACCCAAAAAGGAUUUGCUGUAAAUUUCUCUGGGUCAAACUGUUCGAUUAUUAGUGACACCGGUAAAGCAGUGGCAUGGGGUGAAUUAAACGGAAACCUUUUCGUGUUGAAAACCGUUGAAUACGCAAAGCUGAGUGGAGAGGUGCACCAUCUACCGAAUUGUCAGCAUACUUGGCAGCCCAUGUUAAAACAAGAUUCGGGAGGGCACAGCAAGGAUUUGAAAGCAUUUUACCAGAAGGAGGGUAUUGAGGCUCAGUACACCGCUGCGUACUCUCCUCAGCAGAACGGGGUAGUUGAGCGGAAAAACCGCACCUUGCAGGAAAUGGCAACAUGUAUGUUGUUAGAUGCAAAUCUUGAUAAAAAAGUUUUGGGGUGAAGCUAUCAUGACCGCCGCUUAUAUACAGAACCGGCUCCCGUCU